rnacentral:rRNA from 1 species
GUGCCAGCAGCCGCGUAAUACGAAGGGGGCAAGCGUUGUUCGGAAUUACUGGGCGUAAAGGGCGCGCAGGCGGCCAUUCAAGUCAGGUGUGAAAGCCCCGGGCUCAACCUAGGAAUAGCACUUGGGACUGAGUGGCUAGAGAUCGGGAGAGGAGAGUGGAGUUCCCAGUGUAGAGGUGAAACUCGUAGAUAUUGGGAAGAACACCGGUGGCGAAGGCGGCUCUCUGGACCGAUACUGACGCUGAGGCGCGAAAGCGUGGGGAGCAAACAGGAUUAGAAACCCUCGUAGUCC